AGACGCCGGAGUUGCGUGAUAUGGUUGUCGAUUCACUGCACCGCGCCAGAUAAGUUCCCUGUCCAGUCCAAGUGAUGGAAGCACCGAGUCCGAGCACUGCGCUGCCCACAUACAACAGCACCGUCGAUGGGAACAUAAAGUGCUCCUACCACCAUGGCCACUCUAGGUCCCGUAAACGAUAUGAAGGACGGUGCCAGCCAGUUGGAGAGCGAAAAGAAUAGAUAAAUAAUGGCCAGACUUGUGUAGCCCUCGCCCUUGAAGGUAUCAUCUUCCUGGGAAAUGCUGUCCAGUAUAGUUUUCUGUGGAUGAAAUCGGAUAGAAAUACAUUAAUUAUCAUUUCGAAAACGUGCCGCUUUUUGUUUUAUGCAUGCCAAUGAACCGGCAAUGGAGGGUUCUGGUCUCAAAUAAUAUAUGUUUUAAAUGUUAUAUACAAAACGUGUUCUCGAUUCAAGUACAAAAUGAGCUUAAAAUACAGGUAUUUCUUGUCCGGAUGCAUUUAUUGAGAACAAAAAGUUGCCCUGUUCCCAUACAGUACAGUACAUACAGCGCAGCACCUCCUCCAAUAAUUUUAAUUACUUGCAAUAUUGAAUGCGAUUGCACUCUGCAAGAAAAUUCAAGUGCAAUGCUGCAAUUCUUCUGAGGCAGACCGCAUUCUGAAGCUGAAUAUGAAUGGAAAAAUACUAGCUCAAUGAAUAUGUACGAAACAUGUUUUCGGUUUGGUAAUUUUCCAUUUGAAAGGACGCAUCUGAAUGCACCGUGGAAUGAUAUCGCUAUCUCGCAGCUGAAUUCUGACUCUGACACGAUUUCGAUUUCGAUUUGCAUCAAUUAGCUGACACUGGCCCGGUCUGGUCUGGUCCUUGUGCCCAUUUUGAAGUCCAACAUGAGAGCAGAGCUGUGCUGCAUUAUCAGUACUGUACUCGAUGCAGUUCUCGGCACCAGCACUUCGAAAACGCUCGAUAGCCCCAUACACAGUACUGUGCGUCAGACACUCUCCCCCCCCCAAUCCGGAUGUGCUUUUGGAAACGGAAGUGCUCAGACAGUGUAAUGGAAUGCAGGAACUGCCUAGAACAGGAAGUUGUUGGCUCAAUGCUAAGAAAAAAUGCUUUGGGGACUUUCAUUUUUUCUACGGCAAUCCACAAACAUUGUACAUGUGGUGUAUGUUAUAAUGGUUUUAUUCUUACCAUUCACCGAUUAUGCAUUAACCUAUAUAUGUGUAUACUAGACUAACUUUAUGAAGCAGCUCAAUGGCCAUAACAUGAUACUGAUAAGAGCACUCGACUCUCAAGUGCCAUCUAUCCUUAUCAGCUGCUAAUAAA